rnacentral:rRNA from 1 species
UACGAAGGGGGCUAGCGUUGCUCGGAAUUACUGGGCGUAAAGCGCACGUAGGCAGAUUGUUAAGUCGGGGGUGAAAUCCUGGAGCUCAACUCCAGAACUGCCUUCGAAACUGGCGAUCUUGAGUCCGGGAGAGGUGAGUGGAACUGCGAGUGUAGAGGUGAAAUUCGUAGAUAUUCGCAAGAACACCAGUGGCGAAGGCGGCUCACUGGCCCGGUACUGACGCUGAGGUGCGAAAGCGUGGGGAGCAAACAGG